CUUUUCACAGAAGCUUUCAUUUCAAAUUCUGAGAGCUGAACGUGGAACCCAGCAUGGAGGAGAAGAGAUUUUACUAUUCCAUAAGUCAGUGGGCAGUUGUGGAAGGGACCUUCUUCUCAACAUUAUCUUAUCCAUCAGGUGAAAAACAACAAAAAAGGAACAAGAAAAUAAGGAUACUGUGAUAAAGGAAACACAAAGUAUUGUGUCCUUCCAGCUCUCUAUAAACUGCCACUGAGCCUGUUGUGUUUCCAAGGAAAUUGCUUGGGAAAGUGUAGAUAGUUUACAGAUGAAACCUUUCAGUUUUUGUUACUCCAUAAAAUACAGACAGACAAAUUACGCAAAUAACAGUACCUUUAAAAACUUUUUUUUUUCUGUGCUAUAAUGAUGUUGAAAUUAAUUCAAGUGAUUUUAUUAGAGAUAAAAAUUAUUGGAAAUCCUGGUUUCUUCUCUGAUGUCUCUAAAACUAUACCUAAGUGAAACAUUUAUACUUCAGAUCCAGAAAUAAAAACUUCUGGCAUUGCUCAUCAUUAGAAUUUUUCCCCUCAGGCUUUGUCUUUAUUAGCAGCUUAAGAGUAUAUUUAGCACUGUCAUAUGUGAAAUCUCUUCUGUUUGCUAAACUAAUAUGGGAUAAAAUGUCUUUUUUUACAGUGUUACUCAUUCAUUACAUAAAAAUGAAAGAAACUACUUUAGUGUGUAUAUAGAACUGCUCUCUAUUUUUAUGACAAAAGGGAGGUGACAAUACACAUCCCUGAGGCACCCAAGGGUAUUAUGUAAGAGUCAUUAGCGUAAUUGAUAUCCAUAUAAAGACUGUUGUAUCAAACAUGAUUAAAAUGUGCAAUAUAUUACAGAGGUUCCAGAGUUCCAGCUACUUUGUUAUAAUCCUUCUUCUCAUAGAUAUGCUUCUGCUUCCUUCUGAAAAAGUCAAAUUAUUUCAGAAUAAAAGAUUACCUUUUCCUUCUUUACUAAGAUAAAACAUCAUUUCU
rnacentral:lncRNA from 7 species